UACGAAGGGGGCUAGCGUUGCUCGGAAUCACUGGGCGUAAAGGGUGCGUAGGCGGGUCUUUAAGUCAGGGGUGAAAUCCUGGAAGCUCAACUCCAGAACUGCCUUUGAUACUGAAGAUCUUGAGUUCGGGAGAGGUGAGUGGAACUGGCGAGUGUAGAGGUGAAAUUCGUAGAUAUUCGCAAGAACACCAGUGGCGAAGGCGGCUCACUGGCCCGGUACUGACGCUGAGGUGCGAAAGCGUGGGAGCAA
rnacentral:rRNA from 1 species